UACGUAGGGUGCAAGCGUUGUCCGGAAUUAUUGGGCGUAAAGAGCUCGUAGGCGGUCUGUCGCGCGGCUGUGAAAACUCGGGGCUCAACCCCGAGCCUGCAGUCGAUACGGGCAGACUAGAGUGCUGUAGGGGGAGACUGGAAUUCCUGGUGUAGCGGUGAAAUGCGCAGAUAUCAGGAGGAACACCCAUGGCGAAGGCAGCAAACUGGGCCACAUCUGACGCUGAGGCGCGAAAAGCGUGGGGUAGCAAAACAGGG
rnacentral:rRNA from 1 species